GACGAACGCUGGCGGCGUGCUUAACACAUGCAAGUCGAGCGAUGAAGUUUCUUCGGAGAUGGAUUAGCGGCGAACGGGUGAGGAACACGUGAAGAAUCUGCCCUCCACUUUGGGAUAACUCCGGGAAACCGGGGCUAAUACCGAAUAUUGAAAUAUAAGUGGCAUCACUGAAUUUUGAAAGAAUUUUGGUGGAGGAUGACUUCGCGGCCUAUCAGCUUGUUGGUGAGGUAAUGGCUCACCAAGGCAACGACGGGUAGCCGGCCUGAGAGGGCGACCGGCCACACUGGGACUGAGACACGGCCCAGACUCCUACGGGAGGCAGCAGUGGGGAAUAUUGGGCAAUGGACGCAAGUCUGACCCAGCGACGCCGCGUGCGGGAUGAAGGCCUUCGGGUUGUAAACCGCUUUCAGUAGGGAAGAAGCGAAAGUGACGGUACCUGCAAAAGAAGCACCGGCUAACUAUG
rnacentral:rRNA from 1 species